UACGGAGGGUGCGAGCGUUGUCCGGAAUCACUGGGCGUAAAGGGCGCGUAGGCGGCCUGAUAAGUAGGGGGUGAAAUCUUGCGGCUUAACCGCAAGGCUGCCUUCUAAACUGUCAGGCUAGAGCACAGUAGAGGCAGGUGGAAUUCCCGGUGUAGCGGUGGAAUGCGUAGAGAUCGGGAAGAACACCAGUGGCGAAGGCGACACGCUGGGCCGUACCUGACACUGAUGCGCGACAGCAUGGGGAGCAAACAGG
rnacentral:rRNA from 1 species